rnacentral:rRNA from 1 species
AGAGUUUGAUCCUGGCUCAGAACGAACGCUGGCGGCAGGCUUAACACAUGCAAGUCGAACGCGCUUUUCGGAGCGAGUGGCGCACGGGUGAGUAACGCGUGGGAACCUGUCCUUGAGUGGGGAAUAACCUUGGGAAACUGAGGCUAAUACCGCAUACUCCCUUUGGUUGUAGUGGCCGAAGGGGAAAGAUUUAUCGCUCAAGGAGGGGCUCGCGUCAGAUUAGGUUGUUGGUGGGGUAAAGGCCUACCAAGCCUGCGAUCUGUAGCCGGUCUGAGAGGAUGGUCGGCCACACUGGAACUGAGACACGGUCCAGACUCCUACGGGAGGCAGCAGCUAAGAAUCUUCCGCAAUGGACGAAAGUCUGACGGAGCGACGCCGCGUGGGUGAUGAAGGCCGUGAGGUUGUAAAGCCCUUUUCUGCCUGAGGAAUAAGGUUUGGAGGAAAUGCCAAACUGAUGACGGUAGGGCAGGAAUAAGCCCCGGCUAAUUACGUGCCAGCAGCCGCGGUAACACGUAUGGGGCGAGCGUUGUUCGGAAUUAUUGGGCGUAAAGAGCGCGUAGGCGGAUAUAUAUGUCCGGUGUGAAAUAUUACAGCUUCACUGUAAUGCUGCGCUGGAAACGAUAUGUCUUGAGUACUUGAGGGGGAACUGGAAUUCCUGGUGUAAGGGUGAAAUCUGUAGAUAUCAGGAAGAACACCAGAGGCGAAGGCGAGUUCCUGGCAAGAGACUGACGCUGAUGCGCGAAAGCGUGGGUAGCAAACAGGAUUAGAUACCCUGGUAGUCCACGCUGUAAACGAUGUGCACUAGGUGUUGGGGUGAUAUACCUCAUUACCGGAGCUAACGCGGUAAGUGCACCGCCUGGGGAGUAUGCCGGCAACGGUGAAACUCAAAGGAAUUGACGG